AGAAAAUAGAUACCCAGGUAGUCCACGCCCUAAACGAUGCGCACUAGAUUCGGGAGCCUCUGACGGUUUCCGGGUCGAUGUGAAAAAAACGUUAAGUGCGCCGCCUGGGGAGUACGGCCGCAAGGUUAAAACUCAAAGGAAUUGACGGGGGCUCACACAAGCGGUGGAGCAUGUGGAUUAAAUUCGAAGCAACGCGAAGAACCUUACCUGGGUUUGACAUGCACGGAUGCCGUCCAUGAAAGUGGAGCCGGCUGCUCUUCGGAGUGAAACGUGUACAGGUGCUGCAUGGCUGUCGUCAGCUCGUGCGGUGACGUGUUGGGUUAAGUCCUAUAACGAGCGAAACCCCUGUCGUUAGUUGCCAGCGCGUAAUGGCGGGAACUCUAACGAGACUGCCGGCGUCAAGCCGGAGGAAGGCGGGGAUGACGUCAAGUCAUCAUGGCCUUUAUGUCCAGGGCGUCACACGUGCUACAAUGGCUACUACAAAGCGACGCUAAACCGUAAGGCGGAGCAAAUCGACAAAAGGUAGCCUCAGUUCGGAUUGUGGU
rnacentral:rRNA from 1 species